CUACUCCUAUAGGGGGCAGCAGUGAGGAAUAUUGGUCAAUGGGCGGGAGCCUGAACCAGCCAAGUCGCGUGAGGGAAGACGGUCCUACGGAUUGUAAACCUCUUUUGCCGGGGAGCAACGGGGUCCUUGCGAGGGCCCGAUGAGAGUACCCGGAGAAAAAGCAUCGGCUAACUCCGUGCCAGCAGCCGCGGUAAUACGGAGGAUGCGAGCGUUAUCCGGAUUUAUUGGGUUUAAAGGGUGCGCAGGCGGUCUGUUAAGUCAGCGGUCAAAGCCCGGGGCUCAACCCCGGCCCGCCGUUGAAACUG
rnacentral:rRNA from 1 species